rnacentral:rRNA from 1 species
UACGAAGGGUGCAAGCGUUACUCGGAAUUACUGGGCGUAAAGCGUGCGUAGGUGGUUCGUUAAGUCUGAUGUGAAAGCCCUGGGCUCAACCUGGGAAUGGCAUUGGAAACUGGCGACCUAGAGUGCGGUAGAGGGUAGUGGAAUUCCCGGUGUAGCAGUGAAAUGCGUAGAGAUGUGGAGGAAUGACCGAUGGCGAAGGCGGAUCUCUGGGCCUUACCUGACGCUCAGGCGCGAAA